AAACCGACGUAAACUACACUCAGCUAGUCGAUCUGCAUGCCCGAUACGCCGAGUGUGGUUUACGAAUCCUGGCCUUCCCUUGCAACCAGUUCGGGAGGCAGGUCCGUGGCUGUUCCCGGGUGCUGUGUCAGUGUGUGUGUGUGUGUGCGUGUCUGUCUGUCUGUCUGUCUGUCUGUCUGUCUGUCUGUCUGUGCGUACAGUGUAGUGCACCUUCCAAGUAAAUCUGUUGCUGCCCGCAGGAGCCAGGAAGUAAUCAAGAAAUCAAGGAGUUUGCAGCCGGCUACAAUGUCAGGUUUGACAUGUACAGCAAGAUCUGUGUAAAUGGGGACGAUGCCCACCCACUGUGGAAAUGGAUGAAAGUCCAGCCCAAGGGCAGGGGCAUGCUGGGAAAUGCCAUCAAAUGGAACUUUACCAAGUUUCUCAUUGAUAAGAACGGCUGCGUGGUGAAGCGCUAUGGUCCCAUGGAGGAGCCCCAGGUGAUAGAGAAGGACCUGCCGUGCUAUCUCUAGCCCUACAAGUGUGUGCCCCUGCACCGAGCCCCCCUGCCCUGUGACCCCUGGAGCCUUCCACCCCGGCACUCAUGACGGUCUGCCUGAAAACCAGCCCGCUGGUGGGGCAGUCCCGAGGACCUGGCGUGCAUCCCCGCCGGAGGAAGGUCCAGAGGCCUGUGGCCCCGGGCUCGAGCUUCACCUUGGCUGCCUUGUGGGAAUAAAAUGUAGAAAUGUG
rnacentral:lncRNA from 1 species